rnacentral:rRNA from 1 species
AUUGAACGCUGGCGGCAGGCUUAACACAUGCAAGUCGAGCGAGCGGCGGACGGGUGAGUAAUGUCUGGGAAACUGCCUGAUGGAGGGGGAUAACUACUGGAAACGGUAGCUAAUACCGCAUACCAUCAGAUGUGCCCAGAUGGGAUUAGCUAGUAGGUGGGGUAAUGGCUCACCUAGGCGACGAUCCCUAGCUGGUCUGAGAGGAUGACAAGCAAAACUGGAACUGAGACACGGGCCAGACUGCUACGGGAGGCAGCAGUGGGGAAUAUGGCACAAGGGGGGCAAGCCUGAUGCAGCCAUGCCGCGUGUGUGAAGAAGGCCUGCGGGGUGUAAAGCACUGUCAGCGGGGAGGCGUUACCCGCAGAAGAAGCACCGGCUAACUCCGUGCCAGCAGCCGCGGUAAUAC